GAGCAAUUUGGCCCCGGUCGCCCGGGCUUAUAUCGCCGUAAAUUUCAUCGGAACUGGGCAGUUUUUCUUCAAGAUUGAAUUCUGCCAUCGACCCCUGCGAGCGCCAGACGUUUAUGGGAACCGUAGUUAUUUGGAAGAGAAAGAUUCCCCCAUUUUUAACCGGCUCAUACACAGAGUUGUGUUUGCAAUUUUCGAUCGCGUGUGGGGAAAAUCCUCCGAGACUCUGCGUUGCUACGUUCCUGAAUUAAAUUACUUUAUCUGAGCCACGUAUCGCAGCCCGGUAGGCGGUAACCACACCACAGAGGCGCGCAUCGGUGCACAGAGUGGUAGCACCUCUCGACCACACCACGUAAAAAAGCAGCGCCCGGGCUGUUUCCGCACCAAGUCGGACCGACCAGACUUACAGACUCGCACUCAGCGAGCUUCAGCGCACACGGGCGGCAAAAACAACUCUGGAACAUAAGCCCAGGGUUUGCGGAGGUGUCUACAGGUCUGUGGAGAAGAGAGAAGAGAAAGGUUGUGGACAACAUGGUGCACGCACGUGGGAGAACGUUCCUGGUCGUGGCGGCUUUGGCUCUCUCCUCGCGCAUGGUACUAGUCGGCAGUGAACGGGGAACAGGGACAGAGAAGCCUCCCACCCCGACCGCCGGUGACCGGACGCCGGGCGGUGGAGGGUGAAGGAACACGGCGCCGCUCGCUCCGUUACACCCCGGUCAGCAGACAGCAGAAAGAAAGACAGAACCAACAGCGGACUUGUAGAGCUGGACCAUGGCUACUACAAGUCCCAGUAUUCGCCAUCUUACCCGACACCAAGUGGAUCAUGGGAAACUGUAGGCGGAGGGGAUCGACGGAACGUGGUAAACAGUGGAACCCUGGACAGUGGGAAAAGGACUAAGGCUGUCAGGCUCUCCUUUGCCUUCCCCUUCUACGGACAUCCCCUACGCAACCUCUCCAUAGCGACCGAAGGAUUUCUCUCUACGGGGUCUCUCCUGCUGUGAUCGUUGGCCUCGACUCAGUACAUCGCACCUCUCAUGGCCAACUUCGCCGCGGGCAAGGAUCCUCCCUCCGUGGUGAGGUAUCGUGA